rnacentral:rRNA from 1 species
UACGGAGGGUGCAAGCGUUGUCCGGAAUCACUGGGCGUAAAGGGCGCGUAGGCGGCCUGGUAAGUCGGGGGUGAAAUCCUGCGGCUUAACCGCAGGGCUGCCUUCUAAACUGUCAGGCUUGAGCACGGUAGAGGCAGAUGGAAUUCCCGGUGUAGCGGUGGAAUGCGUAGAGAUCGGGAAGAACAUCAGUGGCGAAGGCGGUCUGCUGGGCCGUUGCUGACGCUGAGGCGCGAAAGCGUGGGGAGCAAACAGG